GCAGUCGUGGCCGAGUGGUUAAGGCGAUAGACUUGAAAUCUAUUGGGCUCUGCCCGCACAGGUUCGAACCCUGUCGACUGCG
rfam:Helobdella robusta unplaced genomic scaffold HELROscaffold_28, whole genome shotgun sequence.